UGCUGGAUAGCUCAGUUGGUAGAGCACAAGAAUCUUUCACUCAGGGUCAUGGGUUCGAGACCCAUGUUGGGUAA